rnacentral:misc_RNA from 1 species
GAAAGAAGGAUUCCUCCAAGAGAAAUCCAACCAUCUCUUCCAGUGUCCCUAAAGAACUUGUAGAUAUAGUAUGGAGAAAAAGCCUGGCAUACUCUUGUGUUCCAGUGAACAAUAUUGUAGGCACCAAUGAUGGCAAUAAACAGUAACCACAUAAUCACAAUGGGAGCAAACAUGAAUGCAACCCUGUGAGUGCCACGAUAUUGCAAAACAAAAAGGCCAAUCAGUACAAUGCAGGCAAUGAGAACCACCAUUCCUGUAGGUAUAUAUAAGUAUUAGCAACUUGAGUGAUAUGCACACAUUUAAGAUGGAAGAAGCCAAAAACAAAUGGCAAAUCACCCUUCCCUUUGUUCUUUUCCUCUUUUGUAGGUUUCUUGUUUCAGUGCAAGGAUGCAACAUAAGAAAGAUCCAUCAAGGUUCCACUUCCACCCCUGCCUUACUGUUAAGGGCUUAAGGCACAGAAGCUGAACAUUUUAAACAUAGACUCAACUGAAACCAUGAAAAAUGUGGCUCACCCAUGAAACCACAAACUAGACCCUGAUAAAAAGUUAAAGCAUCCAACGCAAAACUCAAGCUAGUAGGUGGAGAAGCCCAAAUAUCACAUUAACCAAUGUAAUAUUUCAUAUCUGAUGGAUUUAGGACUCUUUUUCUCAAAAAUCACUCAUGAAGUUGCAAGAUCCCACCAUAAAGAACACAGAUAAAGUCUCCUUUUCAGAUAAGCAACAUGAGUAGUGAACCUCAAACUCAGCAUAAGAAAGCAGAUGUCAACAGAGCUGGGGUUCUUAUUUCUUACUAAAUUCUUUUUUGACUGUUGUCAUUUCUUAUUUUCUGUAGUUGAAAUAUAACCAGACACCCAGACCUGAUGAGAAUCAACUCUCAAACCUCAUGAAGAUAUUGGAACCAUACUACAUGCAUAUGUUUCAUGCCAUACAUAUUAAAAGGUAAAAUGGAAAGUCUAUCCUUUUCCUUUUUUUGUUUUUUGGUUACUCACCAUGAUGCAAAUUCUUGGCUUGAACUUGCAGCCCCUCAAUGGAUGAAAGGAUAGAAAUUGCAGGUGUGAGUACACCCAUGGUAAUAACCAUGCUAGCACAAAACAAGACUACAAGAAGCAGAGCUGUUUUCACUUUCUUGCGUCGCUCAACAAACUUCUUGAGUGCAGAGGGAGGAGCACUUCUAUUUGAACGACCUUCACCAUGAUAUGUAGAAAGUUCCUCAUCUGCUGCUUGUUGAUUAGGAAGCAAACAAAAUUUCGCAUGCCUGCAAAGAAGUGAAUACAGUGCAAAAAUUCCUCCUUCCCCGUUAUCAUCCACACUCAACAUGAAAACAACAUACUUAAACAAAGAAAAAAACGUUAAAGUCCAAAAAAUCAAGGAAAAGGCUCCAAAAAUCGUGUCCUCAGUUUGAUAAUGGCGCAACCUCCCAGAAAAUAUACUUUUAUAAACAUAAAGAGGAGAAGUACUCAAGUCACCAAACACUAUGCCAAAACUCUGAUAUGCCAAUAGGAGGACAUGUUUUCUUGGAGUUUCAAUUUCGACCAUGGCUGCUUCUCCUCCCGUGCCUCGUCCUUGUGUGUGUGUGAUCAGAAGGAACUGAAGGGUGGUUUUUGAUAUAUCGGGGAAUUGAAAUUUGUAGACUGAAACACUGUCGUAACAAACUGAUCCAAAUCUCGCGGGUCCUUUUUCGCGUACCGUUUGUGUUUUUCUGCUGAUGCUAAAGGUGGCGUCUACAAAACUGCGACUUUGCUUUAGGAUGUUCCUGAUCCGACAUGUGUGUCUGCCAGUAGUCACUCGGGGAGGGCAGCGGCUAAUCACGGAAAUUAU